rnacentral:rRNA from 1 species
CUAUCAUUAACUGAAUCCAUAGGUUAAUGAGGCGAACCGGGGGAACUGAAACAUCUAAGUACCCCGAGGAAAAGAAAUCAACCGAGAUUCCCCCAGUAGCGGCGAGCGAACGGGGAGCAGCCCAGAGCCUGAAUCAGUGUGUGUGUUAGUGGAAGCGUCUGGAAAGGCGCGCGAUACAGGGUGACAGCCCCGUACACAAAAAUGCACAU